UCUCCUCUCCCUCGACAGACCCGCUGCAUCCAUCCUCUCCUCUUCCUCCCUCGCGAGAUCCCGGCGGCGACCUCCUGCAUCUUCGUCGGCCCCCUCCGUUGAAGACGGAAGAUGGAGAGCCGCAUCCAAUCUGCGCGUCCGGUUCCGCGGGUCCGUCAAUUUGGCGUCAUUGGGGCCUCGCCCGGCUGCCCGGGUCUACUUCCUGGCCGCCUACGGCAGCUCCUUCCUAUUCGCCGCCAACGGCCGCCGCGAGCUCGUGGUGGUCGACCUCACCGAGCGCGCCGACUCCCACCGCCCGUCUCGUACCUAGCGGGGGCGGCCGCCACCACCAUCGACGUCUCCGCUCCGCCCCCAGUAUCGCGCACCACUGCUCCAACGCCGGUGUGGAGACUCCCGGCCGCACAAAAGUAGUAGCCAAUCCUACACCUGUUCUUCAAGUCUGCAUCUCAGGGACCCUCUCGUAGGGAAAUUCAGAAAAUCUGGGACUUGGCCAGCGAGAUAGAAACAACAGAAGCCAAGAUCAGUGGUAUUGGUGAUGAGCAUGAAAAGGAAAAGGCAAAGAAGAAGAAACACAGUGGAAUGCAUCCAGCUAUCUGAUGCUAGUCAAGAUAUCACCAAGAACAUGACUGGGUCAUGCUAGGCAAAGUCGAAUGUGUCCUGCUAGUCUAGUUGAAUGUCUUGUGUUCAUGCUAGUCUAGUCGAAUGGGCCGUGCGUUAAUAUGUGUCCUGUGUUAUCUGUGUCCUGUGUAAUGUGUCCUAUGUUAUAUGUGUUGUGUCUGUGAUAACUGGAAGUGACCUUGUGUUAUUAUCUUAAUGGAAUUUGUGUUCUGUGA